GGGUAUAGCUCAGUUGGUAGAGUGCUUGCCUUGCAUGCACAAGUCCCUGGUUUCAAUUCCCAGUACUGCCC
rnacentral:tRNA from 1 species